AAGCAUCAAAAAUGUUGGUUAGUUGUGCAUUUUCAUUAAAUAUUAUGUAAAUGCAUUUAUCUGGCCAAGAAAUAGUUGCUU
rnacentral:pre_miRNA from 1 species